UCAAUCUACUCUUUCUUUCUUUCUUCUUCUUAUUUAGGAUAUUUGUUGUUAAUGAAACAUUUAUUAAGUCAUACAAAAGUAAAUUGAUUCCUCAUUUGCUCUAGAAGUUGAUGAAAUUGACAUAAAAAAUUGACCUUAAAAUAAAUUUUGAUAAGAAAAUAUUUGAAAUUGUUUAAUUAGUAAGGUGAUCCUUGUCAGCUCUUUCUUAUUCUUAUUUAACAUCAUUGAAACUAUGUAAAAUGAAGCUGUAAAAGAGAUUUUUAUUUUUUACUCAAUAUUCUGAACACAAAGUAGGCUUUCAAAUUGCACAAGAAGAAGCUACAGCUGCUGGAUCAGUUGUAGGAAGAGCCUACCGUUUUAAUUUCUGGUUUUGUUCCAUCGUGAUGCCUCUUCGCAACAUCCUUUAUUAAGUAUUUCUACUUUAACUUUAUUGUUAUUUAUAGGUUUUGCUUCCAAUUCGGGUUGUUACCAAUUGUUAAGAUAAAUUAUCACCGAAAAGAAAGAAAAAGUUUAGGUUUUUUAUCAACAAACAAAGCGCUUUAUGGAACCAAGAUUCUUAAAGUUUGAAGGAAAUGUCACAUCCAUUUUUUAGGAUGACCAAAGAACCGAAUCAGUCUAUUUUUAGAAGACCACAUUCAUCUACCUUCAUUUCGUUGUGUUCUGAGCUUCUUAUUUAUCUGAGAUGAGUAAUCUGUUACGCUUUUUUCUGUGCAAUAGUUGGGUCCUUUUUCGCUUUGAUUUCGAAUAUCUUAUUGUCAAUUUAAACUUCUAAUUUUUGCAAGUUUCAGCAAUUCGUUCGUGUUCGGCUGUCUCUUCUUUUUUCCAGUUUGUAUAUUUCUAAAAGAGCCUUCAUUUAUUUGUGCUACUUUUUAAUUUGUUCUUGAAAUUCUGACAGGAAAGAGUAGUAAUGCUAAAUUUUGCGUAAUAUUACAUGCUUAACAAUCUAUGGAGAAGAAAAUAUACUCUGGGCAGGUGAAACGAUUCGUACAUAGGUAUAGAAUCAAGAUGCAUAUUACAGAUGAAUGCCGAUGAUUUACACGCAUGCCAUUGUCAAGGAACUAAGGGAGACGUAGGCGAGUGGGAGGACAAAGGAAUACGAGUAGAGAAUGUCACAGUCAUUGCUCUUAAUUUUUACUUCAGCAGUCGGAUUUUAUAUGUUAUCUCUUGAGGUUUGUGUGUGUGUUCAAUAUCUCAGACUUUGGCGAGUAUUGCUCCUUUAUCGGAUUUCAUUUUUUCCCCUUAGCUUCUUCGCAUUGAGGAGACGUCGACUUCCCAAAAAUGCAUUGCCCUCUUUUGAAUGACGCUUCAAGUCCGUUAACCUGCAAAGAUUGGUGUUCUCUUUUGAAUCAUCUCUUCCCAGCAGCUUUCGAUGAAACAGAUUACUCUUGCUGUGGCCUCCGCAACAGGCUUGGUUUUCCGGGUGAAGGCAUACUCAUCCUAUGCCGAAGCUUCAAUUAUGGCAAGGGUGAACCAAGUUUUCAUCUAUUUGGAUUCAUAAUGUGUGUCGGUGCAACAGCUGCAAGAGCACUCAAGUCAGUGCUUCAGGGGAUUUUGUUGUUCUCCAAAGGAGAGAAGCUGAAUUCCAUGAACCUUCUACUCUAUAUGGCUCCUAUAGCAGUUGUAUUUCUAUUACCAGCAACACUUUCAAUGGAAGAAAAUGUAGUUGGCAUCACGUUGGCACUUUCAAGAGACGAUAGUAGAAUCAUCUGGCUUUUGCUAUUCAAUUCUGCUCUAGCAUAUUUUGUAAAUCUGACCAAUCUGGUGACAAAACACAGGUAAUAUACAUUUGAUAAUGGAAUAAUGAUCAGAAGUAUAUGCUCUCAAUGACAUAAAAAAAUUAUAGUUUUGGGACUUCCAUAUUCACGAUAUGCUGUAAAGAUAUCCCAAUCGUCAAGAGCAUAAUACAGAUAGGUUAAAGGAAUGAUGCAGAUACGUAUGGACAGAGGAAACUGUUUUUUGGAAUAAGGUCCCAUUUUGGGUGGACAGGCACAUCUACCAGAUUUUGGUUUCUUUAAAUGAAGUUUGAAGUACGUUUUACACCGCAGUGUACCACUUAAGGAGUGUAGUUAUUUGAUUAAGUUCCUCUUCAAUGUUCCUAAAGGAAAUUUACAUUUAUAGCUUGAUCAUAUCUGAUUGCAACAUCAUUCAAGACUAGCAAAAUUCGUAGUUUCUUUUUUGUCCAUUCAAGAUCAAUAAGUUCAUAAUUUCCAUU